CUCUACUGGGUGCCUCAUUUUGAUUUUCUUACCUUGAGGGCUUCGACGAGGCAGACAGGUGGCGGGCGGCAACAAUAGGGGUUGGCGGAUGCUCCGAGACCAAUAGCCUACUUAGUGAUGGGAAGGAGGAUCCGACAAGUUAGCCCCCACAAUUGUGUUGUUGGAGAACUUCUGCGAGCUUAGUAAAAUAAUGAAUCUUCAUCUCUGAUGUUUUCUUUCGAAAAUGGAGCGCGGAGCGCAGGAGCAAGGAGCUGGUCGAGUGUAGUGAACAAGCAAUCAACGCGGCACAUUUGGAAGUUGUGAGAGCUGUGAAUGGCACCGGUCUUUUCAUACUAAUGAGCAGGAGCACCGGCCACAUUACUCUUCAUGCCACUCUGAGCAGUCGGCUGCUGCUUGAGAUUGAUUUCCACGUUCAAGGGAAGGGAGACCGGAUUGAGUUCCUGUAUAUGCAAGAAGAAGGGGCAUUGUCGUGGUUGUUGCUGAAGGUGUUGGUCAGGAGCUGAUUACCGGGACUGAUGACAAGAACAAAGAGCAAGAUGAGUAUGUCAACAUGUUGUUCCUUAACGUUGGCCUUCUUCUAUAAAGUUCACAUGCAACUCUCCUCCAUGGUUAGAAAAAACUAAUUUAAACGUUUUGUUUCUUUGAUGGUUACUCAUUUCUCUUACCAUUGUUGUAUCAAAACAAUUGUAUUUUCGCUGAUGGCCACUUGGGCUCAUUUUCGAAGAGAAUGAGAUGUGGAAUAAACUACUCUGAAA